ensembl:lncRNA
GGCGGGCAGCCCAGGGUCCAGGGGAACAGACUGCGAGCCACCUGCGGUCCUAUCCGGAAAUCCAGGCAGGGCUGCAGAGAGGAGUGAGCGGUGAAGGUCGUCCCAGCUUUUCUCCUCUGCUCUCCGUUCACCGGUGCCCAGGGACUCGGAGCCCACUCCCCCGAGAUCGGAGUCUCCCUUUGGGGUCCACCUAGGUACCUGCUGGCCCCUGAGAAGUGGGAUGCGAAUGAUUUCAGUCGGUGAGCAGAGGCAGGAAGCCCAGAAGAGGCAGCGGAGGGGACUGGGGCCGAAGGCCAGCGACCCGCGCCCUUAAGUUCUGCUCCGGGAACGAAGCAAAAACGCCCCAGGUGGAGCGAGAAACCUCUGUACUUCAGCAUCCAUGGAAUCCUCUUCCAAGCUGUAUGUCAAAAAGCAGGCUCUCUGGUCUCUGGUGCAGGCUGAUCGGAAACCACUGUGACAGCAGUUCACCCAGAUGCCACCUAAGGCCUUAGGCAUGCCCCAGGAGCAGGAGGAGGGCUGGGUGCCCCCUAGGAGUACUGGGCUGCUCUGUGCUGCUCUGGUUGGGUGGAAAACACUGUUCGCUUGGGAGACUGACCCUGAAGAGGUCUCCCCCAAAGCUGAGAAAGAGGCUGUGUGCUCAACUUGUAAGAAACUUGUUUUGGCUUCAGAAAUGUUUGUUGUGGGCUUCCUGAGCGCCUCAUCUGUCCCGGGGCAGAGGAC